UACGUAGGGUGCGAGCGUUAAUCGGAAUUACUGGGCGUAAAGCGUGCGCAGGCGGUGAGCUGUGUCCGAUGUGAAAGCCCCGGGCUUAACCUGGGAAUGGCAUUGGAAACUGGCUCGCUGGAGUGUGGCAGAGGGGGGUGGAAUUCCGCGUGUAGCAGUGAAAUGCGUAGAGAUGCGGAGGAACACCGAUGGCGAAGGCAAUCCCCUGGGCCUGCACUGACGCUCAUGCACGAAAGCGUGGGGAGCAAACAGG
rnacentral:rRNA from 1 species